CUCAUGAUUGUUAGGGAAGAAGACCUACCCUUAUUGAUUAUUUCACAGGCCGCCAUAAAUGAUCCCAGACUUUUGCAGCUUCCACAAAAGGGUACAUUUCGAAAAGUGCAGAGGUUCUAUUGAAAGAUCGCAAAGUUAAUGUCUCUAUCGACCAUAUGUCUCUGAACCACCUGUCUCAGAAUUUGGCUGCAAAUCCUGAGUGGGCUGCAGCAUCUGUUCAUAACACAGCGGAGUUUUCUAAUAAGGGCAGGAUUAACAUAUUUUUCCUGUUCCAGUCUGACAAGAAUUGACGCCACAUGGUCAAAUCUGCCCAAGCCUGUAAGUCCAGUGUAACUGUGCGGUCGUCGUUUGGUAAAUUUGGU